rnacentral:rRNA from 1 species
GACGAACGCUGGCGGCGCGCCUAACACAUGCAAGUCGAACGGAGCUGAGAGAAGCUUGCUUUUCUUAGCUUAGUGGCGAACGGGUGAGUAACGCGUGAGUAACCUGCCCUGGAGUGGGGGACAACAGUUGGAAACGACUGCUAAUACCGCAUAAGCCCACGAUCCGGCAUCGGAUUGAGGGAAAAGGAUUUAUUCGCUUCAGGAUGGACUCGCGUCCAAUUAGCUAGUUGGUGAGGUAACGGCCCACCAAGGCGACGAUUGGUAGCCGGACUGAGAGGUUGAACGGCCACAUUGGGACUGAGACACGGCCCAGACUCCUACGGGAAGCAGCAGUGGGGGAUAUUGCACAAUGGGGGAAACACUGAUGCAGCGACGCCGCGUGGAGGAAGAAGGUUUUCGGAUUGUAAACUCCUGUCGUUAGGGACGAUAAUGACGGUACCUAACAAGAAAGCACCGGCUAACUACGUG